rnacentral:rRNA from 1 species
AUUGAACGCUGGCGGCAUGCUUUACACAUGCAAGUCGAACGGUAACAGGCCGCAAGGUGCUGACGAGUGGCGAACGGGUGAGUAAUGCAUCGGAACGUGCCCAGUCGUGGGGGAUAACGCAGCGAACGCUGUGCUAAUACCGCAUACGAUCUAUGGAUGAAAGCGGGGGACCGUAAGGCCUCGCGCGAUUGGAGCGGCCGAUGUCAGAUUAGGUAGUUGGUGGGGUAAAGGCCCACCAAGCCAACGAUCUGUAGCUGGUCUGAGAGGACGACCAGCCACACUGGGACUGAGACACGGCCCAGACUCCUACGGGAGGCAGCAGUGGGGAAUUUUGGACACUGGGCGCAAGCCUGAUCCAGCAAUGCCGCGUGCAGGAAGAAGGCCUUCGGGUUGUAAACUGCUUUUGUACGGAACGAAAAGGUCUGGGUUAAUACCCUGGGCUGAUGACGGUACCGUAAGAAUAAGCACCGGCUAAUUACGUGCCAGCCGCCGCAGUAA